rnacentral:rRNA from 1 species
AUUGAACGCUGGCGGCAGGCCUAACACAUGCAAGUCGAGCGAGCGGCGGACGGGUGAGUAAUGUUUGGGAAACUGCCUGAUGGAGGGGGAUAACUACUGGAAACGGUAGCUAAUACCGCAUACCAUCAGAUGUGCUCAGUUGGGAUUAGCUAGUGGGUGGGGUAACGGCUCACCUAGGCGACGAUCCCUAGCUGGUCUGAGUGGAUGACCAGCCACACUGGGACUGAGACACGGCCCAGACUCCUACGGGAGGCAGCAGUGGGGAAUUUUGGACAAUGGGGGAAACCCUGGUCCAGCCAUCCCGCGUGUGCGAUGAAGGCCUUCGGGUUGUAAAGCACUUUUGGCAGGAAAGCGGUACCUGCAGAAUAAGCACCGGCUAACUACGUGCCAGCAGCCGCGGUAAUUC